AUUGAACGCUGGCGGCAUGCCUUACACAUGCAAGUCGAACGGCAGCACGGGGGCAACCCUGGUGGCGAGUGGCGAACGGGUGAGUAAUGCAUCGGAACGUGCCCAGUAGUGGGGGAUAACCCGGCGAAAGCCGGGCUAAUACCGCAUACGACCUACGGGUGAAAGCGGGGGACCGUAAGGCCUCGCGCUAUUGGAGCGGCCGAUGUCUGAUUAGCUAGUUGGCGGGGUAAAGGCCCACCAAGGCGACGAGCAGUAGCUGGUCUGAGAGGACGACCAGCCACACUGGGACUGAGACACGGCCCAGACUCCUACGGGAGGCAGCAGUGGGGAAUUUUGGACAAUGGGCGCAAGCCUGAUCCAGCCAUGCCGCGUGCGGGAAGAAGGCCUUCGGGUUGUAAACCGCUUUUGGCAGGAACGAAACGGCGCAAGCUAAUACCUUGCGCUAAUGACGGUACCUGCAGAAUAAGCACCGGCUAACUACGUGCCAGCAGCCGCGGUAACAC
rnacentral:rRNA from 1 species